GCUGGGUGUAGUGGUGGCGUGCGCCUGCAGUCCCAGCUAUUUGGGAGCCUGGGCAGUGGAUCGCUUGAGCUCAGGAGUUCAAUACCAGUCUAGGCAACAUAGCAAGACCCCGUCUCUU
rnacentral:sRNA from 1 species